rnacentral:rRNA from 1 species
UACGGGGGGAGCAAGCGUUGUUCGGAUUUACUGGGCGUAAAGGGCGCGUAGGCGGUAGCACAAGUCAGUUGUGAAAUCUCCGGGCUUAACUCGGAAAGGUCAACUGAUACUGUGCGACUAGAGUGCAGAAGGGGCAACUGGAAUUCUCGGUGUAGCGGUGAAAUGCGUAGAUAUCGAGAGGAACACCUGCGGCGAAGGCGGGUUGCUGGGCUGACACUGACGCUGAGACGCGAAAGCGUGGGGAGCAAACAGG